UGUAGUUGGACCUUGGGGUGGGCCGACCGGUCCGCCUUGCGGUGUGCACCGGUCCGUCCCUGCCUCCUUCUGCCGGCGAUACGCUCCUGGCCUUAACUGGCCGGGUCGUGCCACCGGCGCUGUUACUUUGAAGAAAUUAGAGUGCUCAAAGCAGGCCUACGCUCUGGAUACAUUAGCAUGGGAUAACAUCAUAGGAUUCCGGUCCUAUUGUGUUGGCCUUCGGGAUCGGAGUAAUGAUUAACAGGGACAGUCGGAGGGCAUUCGUAUUUCAUAGUCAGAGGGUGAAAUUCUUGGAUUUAUGGAAAGGACGGAACAACUGCGAAAGCAUUUGCCAAGGAUGUUUUCAUUAAUCAAGAACGAAAGUUGGGGGCUCGAAGACGAUCAGAUACCCG
rnacentral:rRNA from 1 species